rnacentral:rRNA from 1 species
UGGGGAAUAUUGGUCAAUGGGCGGAAGCCUGAACCAGCAAUGCCGCGUGGGUGAUGACGGCCUUCGGGUUGUAAAGCCCUGUCAGUGGGAAAGAAAAAGCCGGUUAACAGCCGGACUUGACGGUACCCACAAAGGAAGCACCGGCUAACUCUGUGCCAGCAGCCGCGGUAAUCCAGAGGGUGCAAGCGUUGUUCGGAAUUACUGGGCGUAAAGCGGGUGUAGGCGGCUUUUUAAGUCGGACGUGAAAUCCCUGGGCUUAACCUAGGAACUGCGUCCGAUACUAUUGAGCUCGAGUGUCGGAGGGGGUGGCGGAAUUCCCGGUGUAGAGGUGAAAUUCGUAGAUAUCGGGAGGAACACCUGUGGCGAAGGCGGCCACCUGGAAGACAACUGACGCUGAGACGCGAAAGCGUGGGGAGCAAAC